ACGAACGCUGGCGGCUGCUUAACACAUGCAAGUCGAACGGAGUGGCGAACGGGUGAGUAACGCGUGAGCAACCUGCCUAUGACAGUGGGAUAGCCUCGGGAAACCGGGAUUUAUACCGCAUAGUCAUCGAUUGGCUCGCGUCUGAUUAGCUAGUUGGUGAGAUAACAGCUCACCAAGGCGACGCUCAGUAGCCGGGCUGAGAGGAUGAACGGCCACAUUGGAACUGAGACACGGACCAAACUCCUACGGGAGGCAGCAGUGGGGAAUAGUGCACAAUGGGGGAAACCCUGAUGCAGCGACGCCGCGUGAACGAAGAAGGUAUUCGUAUCGUAAAGGUCUGUCCUAUGGGAAGCAGAACCAUAGAAAAAAGCUCCGGCUAAAUACGUGCCAGCAGCGGCGUAAUUC
rnacentral:rRNA from 1 species